rnacentral:rRNA from 1 species
UACAGAGGUCUCAAACGUUGUUCGGAUUCAUUGGGCGUAAAGGGUGCGUAGGUGGCGCCGUAAGUCAGGUGUGAAAUUUCGGAGCUUAACUCCGAAACUGCAUUUGAUACUGCGGUGCUUGAGGACUGGAGAGGAGACUGGAAUUUACGGUGUAGCAGUGAAAUGCGUAGAGAUCGUAAGGAAGACCAGUGGCGAAGGCGGGUUGCUGGGCUGACACUGACGCUGAAGCGCGAAAGCCAGGGGAGCGAACGGG